GUCGAAGUAGUCCUAAUCCUUGGAGCCUUGGGGGGUGGCAGACAAGGUCUGUGGAUUAGCUUCGAAGGACUACAAGCGGAUCUUACCACAGACAUUAGGUAAAAUUCGUACCUGCAUACUAGUCGCAAAGCACAUAAACAUCUUUCUUCUCCAUAAUUCUAGCAAUGCAGCGGCCAGCCUACAGCUGCAAGGGAAACGCUUCAGAGUAGUAUCGAUUUAUAUGGCUCGAAUAUAGGCCUCCUGGUAGACGACUCCAACGCCCACCACACCCUGGUAGUCAAAGCCAGUUUAUAUCCUCCGUAGAAGCUGCAGGAAUAACUUCAAUAAUGCCAACAGUAGCAGCGAGGACAAACUAUGGGC
rnacentral:lncRNA from 1 species